UUGGAUGAGGAGAAGUGGCUUAAUAUGCUUGGCACGUUCGUCAAGGACUGGUUUAGAUAUGAGUCACAUUUUGUUCAUGGUAGAGAUUCUCUUGUUGACAUUUUAAAAGAGCGUGGAUUACUAUCUGAGUCCGAUGCUGUUCAACCACUAAUAGGUAAGAAAUCAUGAGUCAAGUUACUGAACAAUCCGUACGUUUCCAGACCGCUUUGG
rnacentral:rRNA from 1 species